rnacentral:rRNA from 1 species
UACGUAGGGUCCGAGCGUUAAUCGGAAUUACUGGGCGUAAAGCGUGCGCAGGCGGUUUUGUAAGUCAGAUGUGAAAGCCCCGGGCUUAACCUGGGAAUGGCAUUUGGGACUGCAAGGCUGGAGUACGGCAGAGGGAGGUGGAAUUCCACGUGUAGCAGUGAAAUGCGUAGAGAUGUGGAGGAACACCGAUGGCGAAGGCAGCCUCCUGGGCUAGUACUGACGCUCAUGCACGAAAGCGUGGGGAGCAAACAGG